rnacentral:rRNA from 1 species
UACGUAGGGUGUAAGCGUUAAUCGGAAUUACUGGGCGUAAAGCGUGCGCAGGCGGCUAUGCAAGACAGAUGUGAAAUCCCCGGGCUCAACCUGGGAACUGCAUUUGUGACUGCAUGGCUAGAGUACGGUAGAGGGGGGAUGGAAUUCCGCGUGUAGCAGUGAAAUGCGUAGAUAUGCGGAGGAACACCGAUGGCGAGGCAAUCCCCUGGACCUGUACUGACGCUCAUGCACGAAAGCGUGGG